rnacentral:rRNA from 1 species
AGGGAAUCUUCGGCAAUGGACGGAAGUCUGACCGAGCAACGCCGCGUGAGUGAAGAAGGUUUUCGGAUCGUAAAGCUCUGUUGUAAGAGAAGAACGAGUGUGAGAGUGGAAAGUUCACACUGUGACGGUAUCUUACCAGAAAGGGACGGCUAACUACGUGCCAGCAGCCGCGGUAAUACGUAGGUCCCGAGCGUUGUCCGGAUUUAUUGGGCGUAAAGCGAGCGCAGGCGGUUAGAUAAGUCUGAAGUUAAAGGCUGUGGCUUAACCAUAGUACGCUUUGGAAACUGUUUAACUUGAGUGCAGAAGGGGAGAGUGGAAUUCCAUGUGUAGCGGUGAAAUGCGUAGAUAUAUGGAGGAACACCGGUGGCGAAAGCGGCUCUCUGGUCUGUAACUGACGCUGAGGCUCGAAAGCGUGGGGAGCAAACAGGGUUAGAUACCCUGGUAGUCCACGCCGUAAACGAUGAGUGCUAGGUGUUGGGUCCUUUCCGGGACUCAGUGCCGUAGCUAACGCAUUAAGCACUCCGCCUGGGGAGUACGACCGCAAGGUUG